GUCUUUGGGGUCUCCUGGCCUGGCCGGGCCGGCUGGACCUCGGUCUGCCCGGGGGGAAGCUGCGGUUUGUCGGGGCGCUGGAGGACGGACGCUGCCGGCGGCAGGUGGACACUGGCACGGACCCGUUGGGCGGCGAUCUGUUCCGUGCUGGAGCGGAGGUGUCGAUUCUGCCUUCAGUUCUCUGUCGCAUCGUCCCGGAGCUGGAGAGCUUCAGCCGUCGUCUCCAUUUACUCUACUUUGGAGCUCUUGCUUCCCGCGGGCGAUCUCCGCAGCUGCCUGCAAUUCCGGCUCCCAAAUCAGGAUCUGCUGCUCCUCGGAAAGGGGAGGUUUUGUUCUUUUCUGUCUGGGUCUCGCCCUGGGAGGCGUGGGAUGAACUUUCAGGGCCAGGACCUUGACGUGCAGCCUCCCCCCGGGAGGGAGGAGGUGGGUUUUGGACAAGGGGCCUGGGGCUGUCUGUGUGGGGCCGUGGCUGUGUCUGCGUGGCUUGUGGGGUGGAGAAGAUCUGGCUUCCAGAAUUUCUCUUUUAAAAGGAUGUCACCUCCGUGGGUCUCAAGUCCUGCGUGUGGGGUGACCCUGGACACUUUGGGAUUCCCCAGCAGCGUUCUCCUUAUUCUGUCCCGUGGUGGUCUCUGGGAGUCGAGUUCGAGGAAUGAGGCUGGAAGACGCUGUCUGUCUCCUACUAAUUCGAUUCCUCUUUGAAAAGGAGCGUUAAGAGAUGGUGUUUCCUCAGAUCAUCAUCGGUUUGCGCACACUCAUUGUACCAUCUAGGGCUCAUAGUGUUCUAACACAUUUCCCCGCUGAGUUCCCUGAGGCCGAGAAAAGUGAAGUGCCCGUCCCCAGGAGGUGCAGUAGAGGAGUGGUGGAGCCGUGAUGAAGCCCCUCGAAGUUCUGAGUCUCCGCUCUGUGCUUCAUCCUC